UGCCUCCCGGGUUCAAAUGAUUCUCCUGCCUCAGCCUCCCGAGUAGCUGGGAUUACGGGGUGGGGUCAAGGUGCUCAUCACAGGUCCUUGGACCGAAGCCGCUGAGCAUUACUCCUGUGUCUUUGAUCACAUCGCAGUGCCAGCCUCACUUGUCCAGCCUGGUGUCUUACGCUGCUACUGUCCCGCCCAUGAGGUAGGGCUGGUGUCUUUGCAGGUGGCAGGGCGGGAGGGGCCC
rnacentral:sRNA from 1 species